rfam:Arabis alpina cultivar Pajares Aa.chr5_contig_1284, whole genome shotgun sequence.
AUACCUUUCUCGGCCUUUUGGCUAAGAUCAAGUGUAGUAUCUGUUCUUAUCAGUUUAAUAUCUGAUAUGUGGUCCAUCGGAUCACACGAUAUUAACUCAAUUUUUCAUGGGGGAGAGUCUGCCAAGUCAGCUUGCUGAUUGGGCUCUCAAGUGUCGCUUACGUCUUGCACUAUUGCGUAGGCCAGGCACACCUCAC